GUCCUACGGGGGGCAGCAGUGGGGAAUAUUGCGCAAUGGGGGAAACCCUGAUGCAGCGACGCCGCGUGGGUGAAGAAGUACUUCGGUACGUAAAGCCCUAUCAGCAGGGAAGAAAAUGACGGUACCUGAUUAAGAAGCCCCGGCUAACUACGUGCCAGCAGCCGCGGUAAUACGUAGGGGGCAAGCGUUAUCCGGAUUUACUGGGUGUAAAGGGGGCGCAGACGGCGAUGCAAGCCAGGAGUGAAAGCCCGGGGCCCAACCCCGGGACUGCUCUUGGAACGGCAUGGCUGGAGUACAGGAGGGGC
rnacentral:rRNA from 1 species